CCUACGGGUGGCAGCAGUGAGGAAUAUUGGUCAAUGGGCGAGAGCCUGAACCAGCCAAGUCGCGUGAGGGAAGACGGUCCUAUGGAUUGUAAACCUCUUUUGCCGGGGAGCAAAAAGCGGUACGCGUACCGCAUCGAGAGUACCUGGAGAAAAAGCAUCGGCUAACUCCGUGCCAGCAGCCGCGGUAAUACGGAGGAUGCGAGCGUUAUCCGGAUUUAUUGGGUGUAAAGGGAGCGUAGACGGUGCAGCAAGUCUGAUGUGAAAGGUCGGGGCCCAACCCCGGGACUGCAGUGGAAACUGUUGAACUGGAGUACAGGAGAGGUAAGCGGAAUGCGUGGUGUAGCGGUGAAAUGCGUAGAUAUUAGGAGGAACACCAGUGGCGAAGGCGGCUUGCUGGACUGUAACUGACGUUGAGGCUCGAAAGCGUGGGGAGCAAACAGGAUUAGAUACCCUAGUAGUC
rnacentral:rRNA from 1 species